CAACUUCUGACGGUGGAUCUCUUGGCUCACGUAUCGAUGAAGAACGCAGUCAGCUGCGAUAUGUAGCGUGAAUUGCAGACUUCAGUGAAUCAUUGAAUCUUUGAACGCAAAUGGCGCUCUUGGGUUCUCCCAGGAGCAAUGUCUGUCUGAGUGUCG
rnacentral:rRNA from 1 species